rnacentral:rRNA from 1 species
AAAGAAAAUAACAAUGAUUCCCCUAGUAACUGCGAGUGAAGAGGGACAAGCUCAAAUUUUAAAUCUAUCAGGUUUUACCUGAUCGAGUUGUAAUUUGAAGAAGCGUUUUCUGCGUAUUUGGUCAGCCUAAGUCCUAUUGAAUGAGGCAUCAUGGAGGGUGAUAAUCCCGUCCGGUUGAUCAUUUGCGUUUUACGAUACGCUCUCUAAGAGUCAAGUUGUUUGGGAUUGCAGCUUAAAAUGGGAGGUAAAUUUCUCCUAAGGCUAAAUAACGGCGAGAGACCGAUAGCGAACAAGUACCGUGAGGGAAAGAUGAAAAGAACUUUGAAAAGAGAGUUAAACAGUACGUGAAAUUGUUGAAAGGGAAACGAUUGAAGCCAGUCGUACCUUCGGGUAAUCAGCCUUUCGGAUGCGAUUCUGUGGGGUUUGAAGAGCUUAACACCUUCAUGCUUUGCAUAUUCGUGCUCUUGGGUGUACUUGCCCGUGUGGUUGGUUAACAUCAAUUUCGGGCACCAUAAAAUGGCUGGAGGAAUGUAGCUUCGAUCUUGUAUUGAAGUGUUAUAGCCUUCGGUAGAUGUGAUGAUCGAGAUUGAGGAUUGCAACGGAUACCCUUCGGGGCUACCUGUCUGGUCUCUGAUCGUUGCUCUGGUGCCGAAAGCUUGCUUACGGUUAUCAAAGUCGAUGGUCAAUAGGUUAGAACGGGUUAAAUU